ACUCCGUGCCAUGGAAGCAGAGGUAAGCAUAGUAGGUCUUAGAUCGUGAAAGCUAUUUGAAUAGCAUUAUCAAAUUUAUUUUCUAUGACCUAGAGAAUGAGAAUGGGAAUAGGUAUGAUCAUUUCCUUAUGUGAUUUCCGAUAGACUGAUAUCCAGCUUCCCUGUGAGAAUCUUGCCCUUGAUUUUUCCAUAAUAUUCCAGUUACAUUAUUCUGGGUUAAUAGGCAUGCAAGUAAUGCAAUAAAAGUUCGUCAUAUCUCUGGUAUCUCAUCCCUGCUAACCAACUGGGACAAUAGGUUAUUGGAAUAAGGAAGCUGGCAUUUUCUUGAGUUGUGAUUCUCUCCAUAUUUUGAAGCAGUCUUAAUAACCAUUUAAGAAAAAGCACAUUUAUCAUGUAGUUUAUCUUACGGUGGUUGAUGUCAAAAAAGCAAUGUGAUUGCAUCCUGAUAAUCUCUUUGUUAUGAUCCAAUCCAUAAUAAAAAGAAGAAUAAAAAUGUGAUGGGAAACGCAAAGCUUUCUAGGAAGCUUACUUUGAGUUGGGA
rnacentral:misc_RNA from 1 species